AAUAUAUCAACCUCUACAGCUUGUUGAGUGUUGGAUGUGGGGGCGUUUUUUUGCUGGCCUUUUCUUGAGGUCAGCUCCCCUGAAAUUCAUUAGCAGAACAAUUUGUUAACCAUUCAUUUGUGUGAUAACUAUCUACACUAUUGAUGGAAAACAGUUCAGCUUCUAACAGUCCAUUGACUUGGACAAUUUUUAUUUAUUAAU
rnacentral:misc_RNA from 1 species